GGAAGGCCAGGCAGCCCUCAGGAGAAGGAGUGACAACUGAGGAAAGCCGAUGGACUCUAGGACCGGGGUGGAGAAAGUCUGCGAGGAAAUUGUUGAGAAAUCACAUUGCCACUAGAAGACAACAGUGAACUUUUGGUUGUCGCUAGUACUACCAGAAGACUGAAGACUACUGAGGGGCUCAGAAACAAUGGUCAAUUUAGAGGCAACGGUCCAAAACAAAGCGACCACGUGACCAUGGACUGGAAUCCCUGAAAUCUUCGGCCAAAAUAAACUUUUCUCCCU